rnacentral:rRNA from 1 species
ACGAACGCUGGCGGCAGGCCUAACACAUGCAAGUCGAACGCCCCGCAAGGGGAGUGGCAGACGGGUGAGUAACGCGUGGGAACAUGCCUUUUGGUUCGGAAUAGUCCCGGGAAACUGGGGUUAAUACCGGAUACGUCCUUCGGGAGUAAGAUUUAUCGCCGAGAGAUUGGCCCGCGUCUGAUUAGCUUGUUGGCGGGGUAAUGGCCCACCAAGGCGACGAUCAGUAGCUGGUCUGAGAGGAUGAUCAGCCACACUGGGACUGAGACACGGCCCAGACUCCUACGGGAGGCAGCAGUGGGGAAUAUUGGACAAUGGGCGCAAGCCUGAUCCAGCCAUGCCGCGUGAGUGAUGAAGGCCCUAGGGUUGUAAAGCUCUUUCGACGGGGACGAUAAUGACGGUACCCGUAGAAGAAGCCCCGGCUAACCUCGU